AUUGAACGCUGGCGGCAUGCCUUACACAUGCAAGUCGAACGGUAACAGGUCUUCGGAUGCUGACGAGUGGCGAACGGGUGAGUAAUACAUCGGAACGUGCCCGAGAGUGGGGGAUAACGAGGCGAAAGCUUUGCUAAUACCGCAUACGAUCUCAGGAUGAAAGCAGGGGACCGCAAGGCCUUGCGUUCACGGAGCGGCCGAUGGCAGAGUAGGUAUUUGGGGGGAUAAAAGCUUACCAAGCCGACGAGCUGUAGCUGGUCUGAGAGGACGACCAGCCACACUGGGACUGAGACACGGCCCAGACUCCUACGGGAGGCAGCAGUGGGGAAUUUUGGACAAUGGGCGCAAGCCUGAUCCAGCCAUGCCGCGUGCAGGAUGAAGGCCUUCGGGUUGUAAACUGCUUUUGUACGGAACGAAAAGACUCUGGUUAAUACCUGGGGUCCAUGACGGUACCGUAAGAAUAAGCACCGGCUAACUACGUGCCAGCAGCCGCAGUAACAC
rnacentral:rRNA from 1 species